rnacentral:tRNA from 1 species
GCGCCCUUAGCUCAGCUGGAUAGAGCAACGCCCUUCUAAGGCGUAGGCCAAUGGUUCGAAUCCAUUAGGGCGCACCA